GACAGCAGCAGCCGCGGUAAUACAGAGGAUGCAAGCGUUAUCCGGAAUGAUUGGGCGUAAAGCGUCUGUAGGUGGCUUUUCAAGUCCGCCGUCAAAUCCCAGGGCUCAACCCUGGGCAGGCGGUGGAAACUACCAAGCUGGAGUACGGUAGGGGCAGAGGGAAUCUCCGGUGGAGCGGUGAAAUGCGUUGAGAUCGGAAAGAACACCAACGGCGAAGGCACUCUGCUGGGCCGACACUGACACUGAGAGACGAAAGCUAGGGGAGCAAAUGGGAUUAGAUACCCCUGUAGUCCCUGUCUCUUAUAA
rnacentral:rRNA from 1 species